rnacentral:misc_RNA from 1 species
GGGAGAGAGAGAGAGAAGGAAAAUAGGAAACGAUGAAUUCGUCAUCAUCAGCAGUUGUGGGAGUGAGUGGUGGCAGUGACGCUCACAGAGUCUUCGUGUACGGAAGCCUUCUGGCUGACGACGUCGUUCGCGUCUUACUCAACCGCGUCCCUCAAUCCUCCUCUGGCAUUCUCGACGGCUAUCAUAGGUUUAGCAUAAAAGGGCGUGUUUAUCCCGCCAUUCUUCCAGUCCAAAACAAGCAAGUCACCGGCAAGGUCCUCUUUGGCAUCACUGAUCUUGAAUUAGAUAUUUUAGAUACGUUCGAGGACGUUGAGUAUGAAAGGACUACCGUUGACGUUUCCUUGAUGGAUGGUUCUCACAAAUUACGAGCACAUACUUAUGUUUGGGGAAACCAAAAUGAUCCCAAUUUGUUUGGAGAGUGGGAUUUCGAGCAAUGGAAAAGAGCGCACAUGAAUGAUUUUCUCAAGAUGACUACUGGUUUUAUGGAAGAACUGGAGCUGCCUGAAUCAAAGCCUAGAGUAGCCACUUAUGAAUCCUUCUUUCAGCAUGAUGACAACAAUUCCCCUAUGCCUUAGUGGUGCCAAUGCCAUCAUAUUUUCUUUGGGUUAUAUAAUGUAUGUUUUUAACUGCAUUUCAGAACUGUCAUUCUGUCAUUGAUUUACAUUCAAUUUUUUAGCUUAUCCCAUCUUUAGAAAGCUUAUAAUGCCCCUAUAAAGCAUUCCAUCAUAUUUUUUUUAAAAAAUCA